rnacentral:lncRNA from 1 species
CUGGACGCCCCACCUCGCCGGGCACCCCGAGGGGCUGCCGGCCGGCGGCCAGGCCACGACCAGUUCCUUCGCCGGCGCGGCACAGGGCAGGGCCCCUGCUGGAUACUACCCCCCUGCCCCGGAGCGGGACGCCGGCGGCCCCCCGUUCGCCGAGGAGCAGCACGAGUUCGGCCAGCCCUCCCUGCUGAGGGGCCACGCCGCCCCCGACUGCUACCAGAGCCCAGACUGUGGCCUGCAGAUCCCCCUCAGCUCGUCCCCGGGGCAGUACCCACAAUCCUGUGCGGCCUUCAGGGCCGAGGACGACCCCUUGACCUGCGACCCUGGGAUGUGGGGUCAGGUGAGCCUGACUGGGUCAGACUGGGAACAGGGCUCCCUUUCGCUGCCUCUCGAGGCGUCCUCUAUGUCUGCCUGGGGUCGAAGGAGAGGCCGAACGGAAGGCGUAGUGCAGGGGGCGUCGCCCGCAGGCGGAGCCGAGAGUCUCACUCUGACUCGGGCGCUGACCCAGUUUCUCUCUCCCUGCCCCCACGCCCCAUACCCCCCCCCGGCACGAGCAGCGAGGAGGCUCAGCGCUCAGACAGAGGGGCUCGGCUCUUUCAGGGGGAUCACCAGUGAGCAGGCCUGAGGCGCAGAGGCGUGACUGAGGGAGCUGAGGGCACAGGGGUUCAGGUCCGGUUAAGGUCCGGUCUGGUGGUUCGGGUCCGGUCCUGUUAGACCAGGAGGACAGCUGGUCCUGCGGUUCAGGUCCGGUCCUGUGAGACCGGGAGGCCAGCUGGUCCUGCGGUUCGGGUCCAGUCCUGUUAGACCAGGAGGACAGCUGGUCCAGCAGUUCGGGUCCGGUCCUGUGAGACCGGGAGGCCAGCUGGUCCAGCGGUUCAGGUCCGGUC